rnacentral:rRNA from 1 species
AAAGGGUUUCAUAUCUAAGGGUUGUGAUAGGCUUGGCGAGCAACGUAAUGGGCGAGAGUAGUACUAGGAUGGGUGACCUCCUGGGAAGUCCUCGUGAAAGGGUUUC